AUAUCAGUUCCCGUACGAUCGCCAAAGUUAAGCAACAUCAAGCCUGGUCAGUACCUAGAUGGGUGACCACUUUUGAAAACCACGUGCUGUAAG